rnacentral:rRNA from 1 species
AGCUUGAUUGCAAGACAUACAGGUCGAGCAAGGAUGAAAAUCGGACUUAGUGAUCCGGUGGUUCUGCGUGGAAGGGCCAUCGCUCAACGGAUAAAAGCUACCCUGGGGAUAACAGGCUUAUUUCCCCAAAGAGUCCACAUCGACGGGGAGGUUUGGCACCUCGAUGUCGGCUCAUCACAUCCUGGGGCUGUAGUAGGUCCCAAGGGUUGGGCUGUUCGCCCAUUAAAGUGGUACGCGAGCUGGGUUCAG